rnacentral:lncRNA from 1 species
CUGCUUUGGAGAAUGUUUCAUGUGUCUUUGGGAAGGUCAGGCCUGAGUGGUAAAACAGGUAACAGGUUUUCGAAAAUAUUACUCUGUCUAAUAUGAGUUCAUCAGCAGGAGUACAGAGGCUAGAAGGUGACGGUGUGGGGACAUUGGAUUCAGUCAAAGGACACCAAGUUUCAGUUCUAGAGCACUAUUAUCCAGCAUGAUGAGAUAGUAAUGCACUGUGUACUCAGAAGUUUGAGGGAGUAUAACCUAAACGUUCUCAUUGCAGAGAAUGGUGUAAUGAAUUCUAAGGUAAUGCUAGGAUUCCAGCCCCUUGUCACACACUCAUCUUCCCCCAGUUAUGCAGUCACAGAGGAACCUAGGUGCUGCUGUGCCAAACCAGUCAUUUUCAGAUGCUCUGAGGACUGCGCUUAAAAGUUGUUGAAUUUCCGUUCAUCGGCUUUGGAAUUCUGCUUCAUAUUUCCCAGAUUCCCACCAUCGUCAUCACUGCCUUCAAUGCCAUACGACCAUGGUACAUUUUUGACCCUCCCACUCAACUAAAAUUCCUUGCAAGAACUAGAUCUCCACUUACCUAUCUAAUAUGGUGAAAUGUUAAUACCCGUUUAUUUUUUCUCCUCUUGCAAAUGUUAGUUAUCACCUCCCUCAAUGUCUGUCAGCUGUGAAGGGCAGAGAGUCUUUCAUACUUGCCCCUGUCCACUAAAAUCUCGCUCUCCAGAGAGUUGUUUUUUUUUUUUUUUUUUUGGUCUUCCUUUGCCGUUGGUUCACCCUCCAAUGGCCGCCACGGCUGGCGCACUGCACUGAUCCGAAGCCAGGAGCCAGGUGCUUCUCCUGGUCUCCCAUGUGGGAGAAGGGCACAAAGACUUGGGCCAUCCCCCACUGCACUCCCUGGCCAUAGCAGAAAGCUGGCCUGGAAGAGGGGCAACUGGGACAGAAUCCAACACCCCGACCGGGACUAGAACCUGGUGUGCCAGCGCCGCAAGGUGGAGGAUUAGCCUAGUGAGCCGCGGCGCCGGCCUCUCUAGAGAGUUAUACUGCUUCCAGAGUGACCUCCAACAGAAACAAGUACCAGAGAUUCUUGGGUCCAGCUUCAGACUUAGGCACCAAAUCCCAUCAGGAGUGGUACCUUUAAGCAAUGAUCAGUUUGGGUUUUAGCCUCUCCUUUAAAUUUACAGGGCAAUUCAUAAAAAUACCAUGUUACUGCUUUCAAACUUGAGCCAUUACUACAUGUUCUCCAACCUACUCACCUUACUUGCUGAAAAUUACUAUUUUUGGAGCUACUCAUAUGUUAACAGAUCAGUUAUACAACAACUGGCAUCAGUAUAACUUUAAUGUAAUAAAAUUGCAUUCCAAAUUCUCA